rnacentral:rRNA from 1 species
GAUGAACGCUGGCGGCGUGCCUAAUACAUGCCAGUCGAGCGAACAGACGAGGAGCUUGCUCCUCUGACGUUAGCGGCGGACGGGUGAGUAACACGUGGAUAACCUACCUAUAAGACUGGGAUAACUUCGGGAAGCCGGAGCUAAUACCGGAUAAUAUAUUGAACCGCAUGGUUCAAUAGUGAGAGACGGCUUUGCUGUCACUUAUCGAUGGAUCCGCGCCGCAUUAGCUAGUUGGUACGGUAACGGCUUACCAAGGCGACGAUGCGUAGCCGACCUGCGAGGGUGAUCGGCCACACUGGAAGUGAGACACCGACCUGAGGCCUGCGGGAGGCAGCAGUAGGGAAUCGUCGGCAAUGGGCGAAAGCCUGACGGAGCAACGCCGCGUGAGUGAUGAAGGCCCUCGGAUCGGAAAACUCUGUUAUUAGGGAAGAACCGAUGUGUAAGGAACUAAGGACGUCGUGACGGUACCUAAUCAGAAAGCCCCGGCUAACUACGUG